rnacentral:misc_RNA from 1 species
GGAAAUUAUCAUUCACCUAGUAGAAAAUAUAUAAGAUCUCAAACACAUGAAAUAAACAAAUCUAGUGCGAAACACCAAUGUAUACAUGGAUCAGUUCUCUGCAAAAUAUAAAAUCUUCAUUCAAGGAUGCACAUGCACCAUCUUUGAACUGCACCAACCUGGGAAUUUCUCGAGUUAAACUCAAGAGACGUCUUUCAAGCUAUAUCUCAUUGAAGUUUACGAGCAUGAGUUUUCAGAAAAAUAAUUCACAAGCAAACAUUUAUGAGGAAAAUCAAGAUGGAAACAAGCCUCUUUUACUCGAUAUUUUAACACAAUUAUCUCUUACAUCAGUGAAGUUUACAGACUUUUCCUGUCAGUUAUUUGUAAAAGGAUUUGUUAAACUAUUCUUCAUUGUCAUGUUCCGAAUCAAGAACAGCAUCUCCAUUGACACCAGAAACAAGUUCUGCUUCAGAUGACUUUGAAGGCAACCUCUGAUACAUUCUGGAACUCAUAGGAAGCAGCCUACGCUGUCCAAUGGUGAGAGACUGGCUAAGCUUCUCAUAAUUCCAUCUCUGCUGAAUAUAGACUGCAACUGCCAGGAGAAUUGCAGUGGUGGGUAUGGCAAUGUCUCCAAACUUAGAGUAAAAGUCCACAUUUGGGUUCACAAAUUCAUAUUCAUCAGCAAAGUAUGGAUUGGGAAUAGGAGCUCUUAUGUAAUCAUAGACGUGAGGAAGAAGUCUGACAAAUGUAAUCCCCAUGAAAUAGAGUUCCUUCAAAGGCUUACAAUCAAUUUGCCACAUAAUAUUUCCAAUGACUUGUGGCAGCAAGAAAAAGUCUUGCACAAGACCCACAUACUCCUCAAGUUCAGUUUCCCAUUCUUGCAAUGUACGGGAAUUACCAGCUGAAUCAAUAUAUUUCUCCAUUCGGAAAGGCUUCCGGCUCGUUUUAAAACUAUGAAUGAUGAGAACAAUUACAUACCCAGUUACAUGUAUGGUCAAUAUGGCAAGGAAUACCCGCUUGUCAUUUGGGACACGAUGUGGCUCAUGAGGAGUUCUUGCAAGUAACCUGAUACGAGAUUUCCACACCUUCUGACAAAGUCUUAGAGUUAGCAGAAAUGAAACCAUGACAAGAAGCUUCACUGUAUAAUCAAUCACAUGCACCCACUGAUUCUUGUCAAGAUCAUAUGAUGAUGUUUCAUAAGAUUCAGAUGACAUCCUCUUGAAGAGAGCUUCUGCACCUGUAAUCAGUGGAAGGCUAUACCCAAGUGCCUGAACACCAAGCAUCACAAGAGAAAUGAAAGGAACAGAAUCUGCAUCCUGCUUUAUGUAGAAUAGCUGGCUUAAAAUGCAGGCAAUUGCAAAUGAAAGUGUCAAAAUUCGGAGGAUUCCCUCAACCCCCCUGCGAGAUAGAAUGUCUUCUCUUUGCCUCCGAUACAUAAUGGGUAGAGUUUGAAGCCUAACUGUACUAAAAUGGAGGGGAUCAUCACCAUUGCGUUGGCUGGAUAUGGAAAUUCUAGCAGUUGGAUUUACUAACCACCGAGAUGUAGUGGGUGGAUAAGAGACAACCACUUCAAUUAAGCAAUCCAAACCUGCUUCAAGAUCCAUGCUGUCAAAUAAAAUGUUCCAUGAGGCUCGAACGUCCCUGCAGCCAACUAGAUACAUCUUGCCAACAUGAAGGUCAUAAAGGCCUUCAAGAAAAAGCACAGAAAAAUUGCCAUAAGCAUCUCCAUUAAGUGCGAUUUGAGCAGAUACAUUCAUAAGGAGCUGCUUUUCAGUGUAUUCAGCUUUACCAUGGUACGGAGUCUCCCCAUCUGCAGACGAAAUAUUGUGUGAAGACCAAUAUCGCCCAAACAAGGGGCCGAGUGAGAGAAUCUCCAUCUGAAAAUCAGUUCUUGUGGGCUGAGAACCAGAAAAUGGAUCAGGAAACGCAGAGGUGUGAAGGGUCAGGUCCUCUGCAAGAAGAGAGAGACUGGUUAUGUAUGCCUCAGUGUCUUCUAGUUUUGGGAACUGUAACAAUGAUUUCUUAAAGACAGCCUGAAAACUGAAGGGCUGAUUUUUUUCCAGGAUAAUAGCAGCUUUCUCUAUCUUUGAAUAACUGUAGUAUGGACGUGAGUUUCUGAAAUAAUUCCACAGCUCUGUGGGUCGCACUAGUUUCUCAAAUGAUAAAGGGAAAUACGAGGCAUUAAUUUUACUAGUGCUGGAAAAACUCCCAAUAAUUAUGCUUCGUUGCUUUAUGGAAAAUGACAUAGGAAUGUAUAAACAGACGCGAGAAUUACAGCUACUUCCAUCUGUAUCAACUAAUCCAAGGCAACCAACCAUGCAAAGCUGUCCACUGGAAGAUUUCCAAAUUCCUUCAGCAGCAACAGUCAUGUUGCUUGGCCCAGAUCUCAUUGCCAUAAUGUACUGAUUCUCCACGGGAGGGACAGCUCGAAAGACAGCAGCAACCCUUGCAGAACUGACAUUUCCUUGUGCAGGCAUCUGCUCACACUUGACAUUCUGCAUAGAGAGUUCUACACCUUUAAAACUCCCAUCUGUUGCCUUAAUUUCUUUAUCAGACACAAAAGGACCCAACUUACUGCAAAAAUCAUCUGUGCCGUCGCACCUCCAAUUAGGCACAAUUGUGAAAGGCUCAGCUCCUUCUCCAGUAAUUUGCCCUAGAAUUUCACAAAAUCCUGUUCCUUUGUAGAUAUCAAUGCCACCAUCCACCAUGCUAUCCAGUAUGGAUACAAAGCACAAGCUUUCAAAACAAACUUUUCAGAAGCAAAUUCAUAGUUCACUAACUUUGACACCUGUGAUAAAAUGUGGACUGCAUCAAAGUACUUGAGAUUUGAUUUUGAGUUUAAACUUCUUAUCUCUCCUUUGAUUACCCUAUUGGUCAAUGUAAAACUCAUUGGAUGAUGAAGAACAAGUAGAAUCUGAUCGUCUUAUAGAAGAGGUGGCUGGUAAUAACUUGAACCUUUCACCCAUUCCCAUGGAUCACUCGAUUCAGACUCCCGAGAAAGCAACAUUGUGCUCCCCGACAAACACGACUCUUUCUCCCAUUUUUCUUAGACUCGGUGUACGCUCCUUGAAAUGAAAUCGAACGCUGGGCAUGACCGGGCCACAUCUGAAACUGAGGACUAGAAGUAGAAGUAGUUUGCACUUUGCAGUAGUUUUUGGGGGAACAGUAAUUGAUUUGCGUCUGCUUGCCUUGGAUGACCGCCAAUUGUUUUAUUCUACGCGCUGUACAUUGCUCGUGAGCAACAGUAACAAAACUCAAAAUAAAAUUUCCCUUUAAUCCUCAUUCAUUCCUUCAUAAAAGUAUUAGAAAUAAGGAAAUCCUCAUUCAUUUCUUAUAUAAAAGGUCUAUGUACAAUGAAAUCUAUUAACAGAGAUCUCAUACCUUAAUCAUUACAUUGCUUGGUCUCACCUCAAGUAGAAAAACAAUAUUCUAAAUUAUUCAUUUAACUUGAUAUAGAUGAGACUAAAAUUCUGAUUCGGAGGUUCACUUGCCAAUUUCCAUUGCUUUGCAGGCUAAUCUGAAGGAAUAAGAGUAGAUUCCACAUCAGAAGCAGAAGAUUUAGAGCUGCAUCUGGAAAACCCAAAACAAGAGCAAUCCAUGCUUCUCAAUUUUAGCAAAAGAUGAAGCAAAAUUCCACACCCAAAUCCCAAUGCAGCACUAGACCCAGUUAAUGAAACAGCAGCGCAAACCAACAUCACAAAAGAUUGCUCUUUUGUAUUCAUAUCCUUAGAAGCCAUAGCCAACUCAAUCCCUGCAAACAACAACAGCACUCCAAGAAUCCCGAUUGGGAAUUGGUUCAAAAUCCUCACAAAAGAAUUCCCAAACACCAAUCCUAUCACUAACUUCCCUAUCCCCAGAAAAACCGCUGAUGCACCACUCCUGCCUCCACACCUGCACUGCCCUGCUAGCCCACCUGCUUCAUGGCACACAGGCAUGGCCCCAAACCAGCAACCAACCAAAUUCAUCACCCCAACACUAACAGAAACUUUUGUCGCGGACAAUUCGUGAUCUGGGAACAAAUCAGUGGAUAGUUUACACACUGCAAUUACAGAAUUCAAUAUGGACAGUGGAAUUUGUAGGAUUGCCCCUCUCAAGAAACCAAUUUUCCAAUCUUCCUAUGUAAUUUUCAGCAGCUGGAUUCUUGAUGGACCAAAUUUCAGAUCAUUAAUGAUGGAAGGAUCGCAAAUGAAACAUAACACUAACCCAAAUAAGAACACUAUAAGAGCAGAAGGAAUUGCUGACAAAACCCACAACCUUUUACUCACCCGUCACUGAGAGCAGGUCAACGAAUUGGUAUCAUUGUCGUCGAUUGUGUGAUUAUCACCACCAAAGCCGUUGGUGAGAAUUAGAAACAGAAGAGCAGAAAUAGCAAGAAUGGGACCGUCAAGACCAAGCCAAGACCCAGGAGUGGUAGAUUUGGAAGUAACAAAAUCUUGAUUGUAUUGAAUGUACUUGAUGGCGGAGAAGGCGAAAGAAAGUCCCUAGAAGAGUUGAACGCCAUGGACAACAGGGAGAGGGAUGAAGCGGUAGAAGGACAUGAGACCAGUGGCACCAAGUAUAAGGAGGGCGGCAGCGGCGGUGGCACCUGCGAUGGCGAUCUGGGUGGUGUUGAGAUGGGAGAGCUCGGAAGCAGUAGAGAGAGGGUUGUACCUAGCUAGAAUAGAGAGAGACAUUUUUUUUCUGUUAUAUAUUAAGCUUGGCACGUUCACGUCAGCAUUUUACCUGAGAUUCUAUCGAAAAAGGCCUAAGGAAAUUUAUGUAGUGAUAAAUAAAAUUCGAGGAUUUUUGUGAUACAAAUUGAAGUUCAAAGGCAUUACUGAAAUAACCACUAAAGUUCAAAGACGGUAAGUGAAAAUUAGCCCAUAAGAUACUGUUUGUAACAGAAAUUGACAAGCAACACAUGGUAGGUUAUUUAUCCAUUGCAAUGCAUGACGGUCAACAUAUGUACACUUCUACAGAUACAAUAGAUGAAGCAAAUUUAGAGCAACAUAAUCAGGGGCCUUCACAUGUAGUGAAGCUGUUUAAGAACUAGUUCAACUAGCAUUCCUACUUUUUAUUGAUUGCCAAUUUGCCAUCAUUUCAAUUUUCAUCUAAUGCAACACCCUCUACCAAAAAAAUUUAAAAAUUAAACAGUCCAAAAUAUCAAAUUUCAUCAAUAGCCUAAACAUGCAUUCUUCUGUCAGGUUGCCA